GGAACAUGAACUUUAAUGUGCCUUAAUAGGUGUGUGAUUACGGUUCAUCUAUUGUAUUUUAUGAACAUGUGUACAUGUCUUGACGUAGAGAUCCAUCCACUUAGCUAGAUGUGGCUGGUUAUAGCAAUUCUUUCACAUGACCCAUCAAUUUAGACAAGUGUGUCUGGGUAAUAUGUAUACAAUAUUUAUCUGGACACUCUAUUUUUUAUAUUGCUACUAUGCAAAUAUGCAAGUAACCAUUUCACUGUACUGUUUACACCUUCUGUAUCCUUUGCAUGUGACAAAUAAACAUAGAUUUUAUUUGAUAUAGUGUGUGUUUACCAGAGAUGGUAAUGUGAAGAACAACAUGACCUGCACCGAAGUCAGAUUAGGAUAUAGGCCAAGAAAUAGAUUGUUUAUUUGUACUACUACUUUCACCACUUUUAGACUUGAAAAAUCUUUGGUUGUUUACUACACUGCCUUACUCACUCUGUUUAGCAUAUGGCCUCACAUGUGACUCCUUAAAGAGAUGGGUGUAAAUGCUUAAGAGGGUGUAAAUGGGGCGGCCAGCGUAGCCUAGUGGUUAGAGUGUUGGACUAGUAAACGAAAGGUUGCGAGUCCGAAUCCCCGAGCUGACAAGGUAAAAAUCUGUCGUUCUGCCCCUGAACAAGGCAGUUAACCCACUGUUCCUAGGCCGUCAUUGAAAAUAAGAAUGUGUUAUUAACUGACUUGCCGAGUUAAAUAAAAUAAAUGAUGCUGAAAGAAGAAGACCUCUCCAGUAGAUGUAGUAAAAUAUUCAAGGACCAUUUUCUCAAAAGUUGAUGAACUUUCAAAGCAGACUUACUUUUGCAUUGUUCCUCAACUGCAGUUAAUGAUAUACCAUUUUCUCAACUUUUAUCCAAUAUAAAAAAAAAAAAUCCGGGUUUGGAGCGGGUAGUCGCACUUCGCUUCGCUCCACAGGUAAUAUUACAUUUCAUUACAUUACAACGGUUUGAUUUGUUUGAUCUGAGCAAUUUUUUCUUAGCUAGCUACAUAGCCGUCUUUGUAUCAAAGAUAAUUGUGUAGUUUAGAGUAAUUAUCGAGGUUAGCUAGCCAGCCGCGACGCGACGCCGUUGUACAGACUCCAGACUUAGUCAACACACCUAGUCAUCAUCAAACCCACUGCUAGCUAGCCAACCUUUACUGACUAGCAGCAUUGUAGAAACUAAUACAUCACAACGGAACGAUUUGACUAGUGCAGUGUUAGCUGUCUUUGUCAUAGUUUGAUAAUUGUGUAGUUUAGAG
rnacentral:lncRNA from 1 species